AAGGCAGAGACCUGCCCUGUUCAGCCUCACCGCCCUCCUCCCCAGCCACAGGGAUCUGAAACCUGAAAACCUCCUGCUGGACGAGAAGAACAACAUCCGGAUCGCAGACUUUGGCAUGGCGUCCCUGCAGGUUGGCGACAGCCUGUUGGAGACCAGCUGUGGGUCCCCCCACUACGCCUGCCCCGAGGUGAUCCGGGGGGAGAAGUACGACGGCCGGAAGGCGGACGUGUGGAGCUGCGGCGUCAUCCUGUUCGCCUUGCUGGUGGGGGCUCUGCCCUUCGACGAUGACAACUUGCGGCAGCUGCUGGAGAAGGUGAAGCGGGGCGUGUUCCACAUGCCGCACUUCAUCCCGCCUGACUGCCAGAGUCUGCUACGGGGCAUGAUUGAGGUGGACGCCGCACGCCGCCUCACGAGGAGGCAAGAAUGAGCCGGAACCAGAGCAGCCCAUUCCUCGGAAGGUGCAGAUCCGCUCGCUGCCCAGCCUGGAGGACAUCGACCCUGACGUACUGGACAGCAUGCACUCACUGGGCUGCUUCCGAGACCGCAACAAGCUGCUGCAGGACCUGCUGUCCGAGGAGCAGAACCAGGAGAAGAUGAUUU
rnacentral:sRNA from 1 species